GCUGGGCCCUCUGGCGGUGCGCGCCGUGCAUCUGCCCCAGUGUCAGGCACAUUUUAGGUGCCCAACAAACAUCUGUGGAAUGAAUGAAUGAGUGCUGGCACCACCUAUAAGCACACAGUAGGGAUGACCUGGAGAGAAUAUGCCAAGCCUUUAAUCAGCCCAGAAGAGCGCCGUCUGUGUUAAGGCGAAAUGCCAGAAUCCCAAGGAACAGAUUCACCACACAGGAGCGGGACUCAGGGACUGCUGAUACUGAGGCUGCCCUGUGGGUUUUCCUUCCAGAUCCCUUCUUGAUUUGCCCAAAAGAAUUUCACAUUUUGUUUCAGUUAAGGAGAGGCCUUUCCUUACUGCUGACUUUAAGGAAACUGGAAAUUGUGCUUGUGGGGGAAGUGGCUUUGGAACUUGGGACCUCUUUGGGACCUGGUAGGCAGUGGGGUUUCGGGGCAAGUUUGUGGGACAUGUGUCCAAACAGGAAGGGAGGAGUAGUGGGGCCAGCUAGGAGGCAGCAGCAGAAUGCAGAUUUCUCUUCUCGUGCAGCUUUGCUUAGAGUUGAACACCUCCCAGAGACAGAUUGACCCCAAUCCUGCAGAGAUUGGCUAUCCUGCUCUUCAACUUAUUUUUAGAUAUAUAAUCUCACUUGAAUCUCAAAUCCAAUGAGGAGUUCCUGACCCCUCAAUUUAGCUCCACUUGGCAUUCCAGAGCAAUUCAAGGAUCUGGUAGGGCUACUAGCAAUCCACUGCUACAUAUAGGGGAACAAUGAGUUUUAAAGCUGCUCGGAAAUCUGUGAUUCGAGUAUCAGGAAAUCCUUGACUCUUUAUCAAAUGUGAAGUUGCUGAUUUAAGAAGUAAAGUUAAGAAACAAUA
rnacentral:lncRNA from 1 species